rnacentral:lncRNA from 1 species
UCCGAAACAAAGGAUCCGCUACGUGUGCAGCCACAUCUGAAGAAAUGCUUUGAAGGCAUCCACUCACUGCAGUUUGAUCAGCAGAUGGAAAUUGUUGCCAUCACUUCUGCUGAACAGGAAGUGAUUCCGUGCGUUCGGAAGGUCA